CGCCUUUAGAGCGGCCCGCGUCUGAUUAGCUAGUUGGUGAGGUAAUGGCUCACCAAGGCGACGAUCAGUAGCUGGUCUGAGAGGAUGAUCAGCCACAUUGGGACUGAGACACGGCCCAAACUCCUACGGGAGGCAGCAGUGGGGAAUCUUGCGCAAUGGGCGAAAGCCUGACGCAGCCAUGCCGCGUGAAUGAUGAAGGUCUUAGGAUUGUAAAAUUCUUUCACCGGGGACGAUAAUGACGGUACCCGGAGAAGAAGCCCCGGCUAACUUCGUGCCAGCAGCCGCGGUAAUACGAAGGGGGCUAGCGUUGCUCGGAAUUACUGGGCGUAAAGGGAGCGUAGGCGGACAUUUAAGUCAGGGGUGAAAUCCCGGGGCUCAACCUCGGAAUUGCCUUUGAUACUGGGUGUCUUGAGUAUGAGAGAGGUGUGUGGAACUCCGAGUGUAGAGGUGAAAUUCGUAGAUAUUCGGAAGAACACCAGUGGCGAAGGCGACACACUGGCUCAUUACUGACGCUGAGGCUCGAAAGCGUGGGGAGCAAACAGGAUUAGAUACCCUGGUAGUCCACGCCGUAAACGAUGAUUGCUAGUUGUCGGGAUGCAU
rnacentral:rRNA from 1 species